rnacentral:lncRNA from 1 species
GGAAAGGGUGGGGAGGUUAGAAUGGGACAAGAGGAUGUGGAUAGAGUGGCCCAUUAUUCAUUGCACUGUCAGACUCACCUACCACCCUGUUCUCCCUUACCACAGCCCCGUCAGAUGAAGAUUAUUCUUCCAUUUAAUGGUGGUGACAUUGAGGGAUAUGCCUGCUGUGGUGGCACACCUCUGGUCCUGGCUAAUCAAGAGGCUGAGGAAGGAGAAUUGCUUAAGCUCAGGAGUCACAGUGAGACCCCAUUACAACAAAACAAACAAACAAAAACAACAAAAAAACAAACUUUGGGGUUGGGGUUAUAACUCAGUGGUAGACCACCCGAAUAGCAUGCACACGCACAAAGCCCUCAUUGCAAUCCUCAACACUGAAGAACAACAACAACAACAAAAAAGAAUAGGUCUCGAUAAAGAAGCUGGGCCAACACCCUUGGUUCCCAGCAGGCUCUGUGUACAUUGGAGACCAGACCAGGUCACUCAGAGUGACAGGGGCAGCUGCUGCCUGGUAGUUCCUAGAGGCCAGGAGGGACCCAGCUGCCUACUCUGUGCCCCCUCCCUGCCAGCCUCCCUGGCAGGCACACACUCUGGGACUCUUCCACAUUCCUGACAUCCCAUGUCAGGAGACAGAUGCUGGUAAUUCCCUGGUGCAAGCUUUGCUCAUCCAUCUCGCCUGCCCUCCCCAGCCUCUCUGGGCAGCAUGGCUACAGCUGGGGCCUGGCCCCCUUGGUCUGCCUGAGUUCUGAGCGGCUUCCAAGCCAGUGAAAAGCACUGGUCCUCCUUCCAGAUUCUGAUACUUGCUGGCUGCUUGUAUCUGUCAGGGCUCUGAGGAGAACAAGAGAGAGACAGUCACCCUGAUGUGGAAAGCCCCUGCCAAGGGACAGGAGACAGCUGGCUGGUGAAUGGGCACCUGGGAGGAAGGGUCAGAUUGUGCAUGGGGUGAGAGGAAUGAUACUGUGACAGAAGUUACCCUCCCUGAGCCUCCAUUUUCCUACCCGAAACACAGGAGUGAAUGACGACACCCACUCAGAGUGCUUGUAAGUGCUUAGUAAACAACAGCUGUUAUUGCACGGAGAUUAGGAGGGAAUGGCCUCCAGGACCCUGUGGCUGGCUGUGCAGAGCUGGUGAUCUCAUUCCCUUCUCAGGGCAGCCCUUCCAGAAAGGCAUGGUUGUUCCCAUUUCCCAGAUGAGGACACUGAGGCUUAAAAGGAGGAAGUAACUAGCUGAAGGACACAUGGCAAGGGGAGUAGGAGGAUUGGUGCUCAGGGCCAGGGGCUUUCUUCCACUGCAAAGCUCAUUCCAACACCCUGGGUAGGUACAAAAUAGGGGAGGUCUAUUUACAGGAUGCCCACACAUGGGGUACAUGGACAGUCCAAAUGCUCAAGCACGUAUGUGCCUAGCCCUAUGACCUUCAGCCCCUGUCAUCUCAGAGCCCUCACACAGGCUUUUUUUUUUCCCUGGGGACACUUUUCCUCUUAACACCAAGCCUACUCUUUCCAGAGCUCAUUCAAACCUCAGUCCUCAGGGCAGCCUCCUCGGGUCUUCCCCCCAUUCCAGAUCAGCUUCUAGACUGAGUCUCCCUCACUCAGGGGCUCUUAUCAGUGUAAUGAAAGCAUCACCCAAGGGGCUGGGGUUGUGGCUCAGUGGUAUAGCACUAGCCUAGCACAUGUGAGGCCCUGGGUUCGAUCCUCAGCACCACAUAAGAAUAAAUAAAAUAAAGGUAUUGUCUAACUACAACUAAAAAAUAAAUAUUAAAAAAAGAAAAGGAUUCCCCAAAUUGCACCUACCAGGAAGCAAGCACUGUUCAGACAGAGGAUGUGCGUUUUUUGUGUGGUGCUAAGAAACCCUGGGCCUCACACAUGCUUAUCUUCUGCUCUACCACAGACCUAAAGCCCAGCCACUAGAUAGUGAUUUUUGUUUUUGUUUUUUUUUUUUAAUAUUUAUUCUUAAGUUUUAGGUGAACACACUAUUUUUAUUUUACAUUUAUGUGGUGCUGAGGAUGGAACCCAGUGCCUCGUGCAUGCUAGGCAAGCACUGAAUCAUGAGCCACAACCCCAGCCUGGUGAUUUUGGUUUUUUUUUUUCAAGCAAUCAUUCUGAAACUGUAGCAUAUAUCUUAAUGACCCAGAGGGCCCCCACCUCACAAGUUUAUAUUUAGUACCUCUGGAGAGAAGUUUAGGAAUUUAUACUUCUAACCAGUUCCUGGGUGAUACAAAUGUUACUGGAGACAUGGGGGCUUUGCACUUUGGGAACAAGUUGGAUUUCAAGCACCAAAAUUAAUCAAUUAAUUAAAAAUUUUAAAGUAAGUCAGGUGCAGUGAUGUACACCUGUAAUCCCAGCAACUUGGAGAACUGAGGCAGGAGGAUUGCAAGUUCAAAGCCAGCCUCAACAACUUAGCAAGGCCCUGAUCAACUUAACAAAAAAAGGACUGAGACUGUGCUCAGUGGUUAUGUGCUCCUGGGUUCAAUCGAAGAAGAAGAAAGAAGAAAGAAGAAGGAAGAAGAAGAAGGAGAAGAAGGAGGAGGAGAAGAAGGAGGAGGAGGAGGAGGAGAAGGAGAAGAAGAGUUUUGAAGUAAAAAUAAAAAAGAAUUCAUUGUCCAAAAAUGUUUUCAAUGAAGAACAGGAUGCAGCUCAGUGGGUAGAGCACUUGCCUGGCAUGCAUGAAGGCCCUGGGUUUGAUCCCCAGCACUAGGAAAAUAAAAAUGUUCUCAAUGAAAAUAAACCCAAACCCUUGCUCCUCCUCUCUUCCUUCCCCAAGAGAAACUCUCUCCAUUUUCUCAGUCUUCCUGCC